GAUGAACGCUGGCGGCGUGCCUAAUACAUGCAAGUCGAGCGAACAGACGAGGAGCUUGCUCCUCUGACGUUAGCGGCGGACGGGUGAGUAACACGUGGAUAACCUACCUAUAAGACUGGGAUAACUUCGGGAAACCGGAGCUAAUACCGGAUAAUAUAUUGAACCGCAUGGUUCAAUAGUGAAAGACGGUUUUGCUGUCACUUAUAGAUGGAUCCGCGCCGCAUUAGCUAGUUGGUAAGGUAACGGCUUACCAAGGCAACGAUGCGUAGCCGACCUGAGAGGGUGAUCGGCCACACUGGAACUGAGACACGGUCCAGACGCCUACGGGAGGCAGCAGUAGGGAAUCUUCCGCAAUGGGCGAAAGCCUGACGGAGCAACGCCGCGUGAGUGAUGAAGGUCUUCGGAUCGUAAAACUCUGUUAUUAGGGAAGAACAAAUGUGUAAGUAACUAUGCACGUCUUGACGGUACCUAGUCAGAAAGCCACGGCUAACUACGUG
rnacentral:rRNA from 1 species